GCAACGUUGCCGGAGUCUGGUAACGGCUCUCGCUGCAAACGAGAUGAGCACUGGUUCGAAUCCAGUACGUUGCUCCA
rnacentral:tRNA from 5 species